rnacentral:rRNA from 1 species
GACGAACGCUGGCGGCGUGCUUAACACAUGCAAGUCGAACGGAAAGGCCCUGCUUUUGUGGGGUGCUCGAGUGGCGAACGGGUGAGUAACACGUGAGUAACCUGCCCUUGACUUUGGGAUAACUUCAGGAAACUGGGGCUAAUACCGGAUAGGAGCUCCUGCUGCAUGGUGGGGGUUGGAAAGUUUCGGCGGUUGGGGAUGGAUUCGCGGCUUAUCAGCUUGUUGGUGGGGUAGUGGCUUACCAAGGCUUUGACGGGUAGCCGGCCUGGGAGGGUGACCGGCCACAUUGGGACUGAGAUACGGCCCAGACGGCUACGGGAGGCAGCAGUGGGGAAUAUUGCACAAUGGGCGGAAGCCUGAUGCAGCAACGCCGCGUGCGGGAUGACGGCCUUCGGGUUGUAAACCGCUUUCGCCUGUGACGAAGCGUGAGUGACGGUAAUGGGUAAAGAAGCACCGGCUAACUACGUG